AGAACGAACGCUGGCGGCGUGCCUAACACAUGCAAGUCGAGCGAGAAAGGGGAGCAAUCCCCGAGUAAAGCGGCAGACGGGUGAGUAACACGUGGGUAAUCUGCCCUCGAGUGGGGAAUAACAUCUCGAAAGAGGUGCUAAUACCGCAUAACAUCCUGGGGCCUCAGGUCUCUGGGAUCAAUGGUGGGGAUCUUCGGACCUACCGCUUGAGGAGGAGCCCGCGCCUGAUUAGCUAGUUGGUGGGGUAAUGGCCUACCAAGGCGACGAUCAGUAGCCGGCCUGAGAGGGUGAACGGCCACACUGGAACUGAGACACGGUCCAGACUCCUA
rnacentral:rRNA from 1 species